CAAGACCUCGCGCCUGAAGAGGAGCCCGCGCCCGAUUAGCUAGUCGGCGGGGUAAGAGCCCACCAAGGCUUCGAUCGGUAGCCGGCCUGAGAGGGCGGUCGGCCACACUGGCACUGAGACACGGGCCAGACUCCUACGGGAGGCAGCAGUGGGGAAUUUUGGGCAAUGGGCGAAAGCCUGACCCAGCAACGCCGCGUGAAGGACGAAAUCCCUCUGGGAUGUAAACUUCGAAAGUCGGGAAAGAAAUCGCGCAGGAUAAUACCCUGCGUGGAUGACGGUACCCGACGUAAGCCCCGGCUAACUACGUGCCAGCAGCCGCGGUAAUACGUAGGGGGCAAGCGUUGUUCGGAAUUAUUGGGCGUAAAGGGCGCGUAGGCGGCACAGCAAGUCGGGAGUGAAAGCCCGGGGCUCAACCCCGGAACUGCUUUCGAAACUGCUGAGCUAGAGUACAGAAGGGGCAACCGGAAUUCCCAGUGUAGCGGUGAAAUGCGUAGAUAUUGGGAAGAACACCUGAGGCGAAGGCGGGUUGCUGGGCUGAUACUGACGCUGAGGCGCGAAAGCCAGGGGAGCAAACGGGAUUAGAUACCCCGGUAGUCCUGGCCCUAAACGAUGGAUACUUGGUGUGUGGGGUUCUCUGAGUCCCCGCGUGCCGGAGCUAACGCGGUAAGUAUCC
rnacentral:rRNA from 1 species